AAGGUGAUUGCCUCAUAUUUCCAAAUUAUCUCCAAGCCCCAAACAUGAUGAAGGCUCAAAGUAUGACAGAAAAAGCAACCUCAAGUGCCCGAAGGAUCUUUUGCUGAAGACUGGUAAUUUUAGAGCAAAUGAAUAGACCAUUUUAUUAAUAAAAAUCAGGCAGUCUGCUGUACCCCUAAUAUUUUGCAAUAUUGACUUCAUAUAUUUUUUAAAUUUGAAAAAAAUUAAGACAUACAAAGUUUUCUAAUUGAUAAUGUAUGAUAUAGGUGGUAAUUCCUCUGAGAGCUAUGGGACUUCUGACACGCAGGAUGUGCUCAUUAGCAAAUGUUUGCCUUGUUAGAUUUAUUAUUUACUUCUAUUUGUAUUUAAAUAUGUUUCUGUUUAUCUUUUGGGUGGUGAAAUGUCAUUGAGAUUAAAAAGAAAAACACAGUGUUCUGUGUAUGAGACCAG
rnacentral:lncRNA from 1 species